CCCCCCCCCCAAAAUCCGGCUCCACAACCUUCCUUCAUCCCUGACCUUUAAUUUCUCACCAUAACCCCUCAGUCGUCACUAAACGGAGCCAAGUAUGGACUUGAAAAGGAAAGAAGACGAAAAGAAUUUUCCAGUUUAGGGCUGAGGAUUAGAGUCGAAACUGGUCUCGUUCGUCCGUUCUUGAUAAGAACGCAUGAUUGAGACCAAUUUCGGCUCAAAAUCGACGAGUCCGAGUGCCUUCAAGCUUCGUCUAUUCUCAGUUGUUGAAUAGGUAUUUCCUGAUUCUAUGAAAGAUGAGAUGCAAGUGUGAAAGUUGUAAUUGCUUGAAGAUUCUAUAAAUGAAUGUUGUUCCCUUUAGAUGUUAGCUAUUUACUUGGAAUUUUUGAAGUUUGGAGUAUAGUGUAACAAUGAUUAACCUUACCUGUUCAUUUUGAUAUAGUAGUAGUGCAUUGUUUCCUAGGAAAUCUAUGCUGCAUUUUGUCUUGAUGAGAAACAGUUUUGCUGAUGUGUAAGUAAUUCAGAACAUUUGAGACUUUUUUGGGUAUAUGGACUGUUGGUUAAGCUAUUCAUAUCUAGUAGUAUGAAUGUAUUCAUUUAUGUGUUUAAGCUCUUUUGCUCUCAA